rnacentral:lncRNA from 1 species
UGAUUUGUGGUCUGAAUAUGUUCGUGUGUACAAAAAAUAUAAAUAUAUUACCGAUUGUCCUUAGCGCAAGUAGCAAAGGGUUUGGUGGUUGGUAUCCGAGGUCCUGAGUUCGAAUCCUAAUUGAUUCAUAUUUUCAGUUAAAUUUAUUUAUAAAUAAAAUAAAUAAAGCGGAUAGCAUGCUACCUAUCUCUCAAUAUAUAUGUUAUCUACCUAUCUCUCAAUAUAUGUAUAUAUAUACACACACGUCAUAUAUCUCGAGUACACUUCUAU